rnacentral:lncRNA from 1 species
GGUACUAUCCAUAGUUUCAGGUAUCCACUGGGGGAUCUUGGAAUGUAUCCCCCCAGGAUAAGGGCGGACCACUAUACCACAUUUAUCCAUUUAUCCAUCAAUGGACAUUUGAGUUGUUUCCACCUUUUAGGUACCUUCUGUGGAUUUACAAUUCUUUCAAAAUAAAAUGUCAAAAAGUACAAUCAGAAAUGAAAUCUAUGAAUUGGCUCACUCUUUCACCUACUGAGUAUGUAAAUUCGUGUUUGUUGUUGACCUGUUGACUUUUGUACAGUUCCCAUCACAGAGACGAUUUAAGCUUGGUAGGGCAUACAGAACCUGAUUUUUUCUUUUCUGCUUUUAAAGAAGCAACAUGUAUGAUUGUUCAGAGGAUAGUAUGUGAUGUUCAGUGAGCUUUAAUUAACCUGGCCCAUGACACUAUGUACACGCUUAGAUCGAGAAAUAAGAAAGGAAAUUCAGAGCCCUCUUGCACUGACAGGUGAUUUCAGGAGAGACAAUGACAUUAACAUUGAGCCAGCUCCUGACUGUACAAAAUAUGAAGCCAUUCUUUUUUUUUUUUUUUUGAGACCGAGUCUCGCUCUGUCGCCAGGCUGGAGUGCAAUGGCACGAUCUUGGCUCACUGCAACCUCUGCCUCCCAGGUUCAAAUGGUUCUCCUGCCUCAGCCUCCCGAGUAGCUGGGACUACAGGCACGUGCCACUAUGCCUGGCUAAUUUUUGUAUUUUUAGUAGAGACGGGGUUUCACCAUGUUGGCCAGGAUUUCUAAUGCGACCAGGUAAAAGUAAUUAGUAGGAGAAGGGAAUGCUUGGCUUUGGAGGAUUCAUUUGCAUUGCAAAGCAUUUCCCAUUGGUGGCUUGGCCAGGCAUUUCUCUGUCCAGCUGUGUAAUGGUCUCAAGACUGCAGAGCAUAUUCAUGCACAGCAUGGACACCACUUCAUGUAGGGGCACUGGACUACCUAAAGUUGGAGGAAGGGACCCUAGCUCAGAGACAGCGUCUAAGAGGGCGGCUCAGAAGGUGCCUCAAACACAAACACAUGACGAAUAUAGUUCUGCAGUGAAGACUUUAGCUCCACGGGGAAAGCUGAGACUCAGGAACCUGCUGGCAUAA